ensembl:lncRNA
GGGGACCGAACCCAGGGCCUUGCGCCUGCUAGGCAAGCGCUCUACCACUGAGCUAAAUCCCCAACCCCACUGGCUUUUUAAAUAUUGGCUCUCUAACUUAAAACACCUCCCACCUCCUUCAGGGUCAGAUGCAAGUAGCCAUAGCUAUAUUCACCCUGUCCAAGUCAGCGGUGGCAUCUGGAGCAAACACUCAGUACACAGUAAGCUCUUGCUAUCCUGACUCCUGUGUUGUCAAACGACAUGCUGGUAGUAAUCUCCAGGGGAUCAGUGAACGGCCAGGCACAUAGGUGAUCAUGGGGAUGCUUAAUACCGCUGCAGGGAGGAGGAGACUCAGACAUCUAAGACCUCAGUUUGGGUAUCUGACUUGGUGUCAGCAUGCAAAGGAAGGGCAGUGGGUGAGCCUCACACAGCCUCUUACCCAGUCCCAGAUUCUCAUUCUGUACAAUGAAGCAAGCUGCCUGCCACCCAGUUGUUCACUGUCAGGUAAGAGAGACAAGGUUCCAGCCAGCUCUGUUCUUGAGAAUGUUUUAAUCUGAGGGGGACCUCACUUGCAGGCUUUCUGCCCAUUUACUGCGGUCUCUUUCCCAAGCACAGCCCCUGAGUGGAUACAACUAAGCUUCCAAAUGUAUUUGCUACAGACCCUUCAUGUACCUUUUUCACUUCAAACAUGUCAAACAGGUGUGGUUCCUGUUCCUUCUCCAUCUACAGAUGCUUCUCUGAAGCAUCUGGGGCAUCUGUAAGUUCUGGUGUACCAGAGAUACCUAGGGAUUCACUGGCUUUGUCCUCCCAGCCUCCCAAGUGGCUGAACCCCAGCUCUUGGCUUGAGCAGCCACAAAGGGAUGGAGCCCUAAGGUACAAGAUAAAAAUAUAAGCUCUCAGCUACUGCUCCAGCACCAGGCCUGCUGCCCGCACUCCACACCAUGACAGUCACGGACUCACUCUUUGAAACUUUCCAGGUCUUCUGGCAUUCUCACACUGGUGUGCCUGCAAGCAAAACACUGAUGAACAUAAAAUAAAGAAUUAAAAAGAAAGAAAUGGGGGCUGAGGAGAUGGCUCAGCGGUUAAGAACACCAACUGCUCUUCCAGAGGUCCUGAGUUCAAUUCCCAGCAACAGCACGGUGGCUCACAGCCAUCUGUAAUAGGAUCCGAUGCCCUCUUCUGGUGUGUCAGUGACAGUGUGCUCAUAUACACUAAAUAAAUCUUUAAAAAAGAAACCAGAAAG